rnacentral:rRNA from 1 species
CCUACGGGUGGCAGCAGUGAGGAAUAUUGGUCAAUGGACGAGAGUCUGAACCAGCAAAGUAGCGUGAAGGAUGACUGCUCUAUGGGUUGUAAACUUCUUUUAUAAAGGAAUAAAACGUGGCACGUGUGCCUUUUUGCAUGUACUUUAUGAAUGAGGAUCGGCUAACUCCGUUCCAGCAGCCGCGGUAAUACGGAGGAUCCGAGCGUUAUCCGGAUUUAUUGGGUUUAAAGGGAGCGUAGAUGGGUUGUUAAGUCAGUUGUGAAAGUUUGGGGCUCAACCGUAACAUUGCAAUUGAUACUGGCGGUCUUGAGUACAGUGGAGGAAGGCGGAAUU